rnacentral:tRNA from 1 species
ACCUGGGUGGCUCAUUCGGUUAAGCAUCUGACUUCAGCUCAGAUCAUGAUCUGAGCUUUAUGGGUUCGAGCCCCGUGUCGGGCU